GCAUAUCAAUAAGCGGAGGAAAAGAAACCAACAGGGAUUGCCCCCAGUAACGGCGAAGUGAAGCGGCAACAGCUCAAAUUUGAAAUCUGGCCUUCGGGUCCGAGUUGUAAUUUGUAGAGGAUGCUUUUGGCGAGGUGCCUUCCGAGUUCCCUGGAACGGGACGCCAUAGAGGGUGAGAGCCCCGUCUGGUCGGAUACCAAGCCUCUGUAAAGCUCCUUCGACGAGUCGAGUAGUUUGGGAAUGCUGCUCAAAAUGGGAGGUAUAUGUCUUCUAAAGCUAAAUAUUGGCCAGAGACCGAUAGCGCACAAGUAGAGUGAUCGAAAGAUGAAAAGCACUUUGAAAAGAGGGUUAAAAAGUACGUGAAAUUGUUGAAAGGGAAGCGCCUAUGACCAGACUUGGGCCCGGUGAAUCAUCCAGCGUUCUCGCUGGUGCACUUUGCCGGGCACAGGCCAGCAUCAGUUUGGCGCGGGGGAUAAAGGCUUUGGGAAUGUGGCUCCCUCGGGAGUGUUAUAACCCAUUGCGCAAUACCCUGCGCCGGACUGAGGUACGCGCAUCGCAAGGAUGCUGGCGUAAUGGUCAUCAGCGACCCGUCUUGAAACACGGACCAAGGAGUCGUCUUCGUAUGCGAGUGUUCGGGUGUCAAACCCCUACGCGUAAUGAAAGUGAACGCAGGUGAGAGCUUCGGCGCAUCAUCGACCGAUCCUGAUGUUCUCGGAUGGAUUUGAGUAAGAGCAUACGGGGCCGGACCCGAAAGAAGGUGAACUAUGCCUGUAUAGGGUGAAGCCAGAGGAAAACUCUGGUGGAGGCUCGCAGCGGUUUCUGACGUGCGAAUCGAUCGUCAAAUAAUGGGCAUGGGGGGCGAAAGACUAAUCGAACCUUCUAGUAGCUGGGUUUCCGCCGA
rnacentral:rRNA from 1 species